UUCGGCGGGUACAGCGUAGUGACUUGCAAUUCAAUUUCUAACAUUUCUAAUACUCCAAGUCGAUCAACAGAUGUCACUAGGUAUAUUUUAUAGUCAGUUAGAAACGAUUUCAACAGAUGAUCUGAUCGUUAGCUCCGAAACAAACAUUCAGCGGCGCAAAAACCGUCGAUAUUGCGUCGUAUUGUGCUGCGAGCAUUUUCAAUGAAGGCUACUCCAGUAUCCUCAAAAUGAUGGACGUUAUGAACAUCAAAAUUGGACCAAACGCCUUCAAUUUAUGCAACACCGUGGACGAGCGCAGAAUAUCACGAGCAAACGAACGGUCGUUCGACACUUCAAAAGAAGGGAGAAUCGAAAGAAGAACGGCGCGAUCGGCACUCAAAGAGGAUUUCCUUGAAGAAGAAGGUGUACUAUAUGAAGCAGGAAUGGGCGAUUAAUGAUCACCCAGACGUGAGAUUUCAUGUACACCGUUUGGGCACCUAAAAAAAACGGACCUGCACUUGAAGGAGUGCCACGACGGCAAUUUUGAAUAUUUCGACUUGAAAAUUUUUUUACAAAUACUUGAAUAUAUAAUAAAGAUGACGGUUUAAUUUAA